rnacentral:rRNA from 1 species
UAGCCGUAAACGAUACUCGCUAGGUGUCGGCCACGGUGCGACCGUUGUCGGUGCCGUAGGGAAGCCGUGAAGCGAGCCACCUGGGAAGUACGGCCGCAAGGCUGAAACUUAAAGGAAUUGGCGGAGGAGCACCACAACGGGUGGAGCUUGCGGUUUAAUUGGAUUCAACGCCGGAAAUCUUACCGGGACCGACAGCAACAUGAAGGCCAGGCUGAAGACUUUGCCGGAUUAGCUGAGAGGAGGUGCAUGGCGUAGUCGUGU